rnacentral:rRNA from 1 species
GACGCAGUAGGAUAGGCGAAGCGUGCUGUUGGAGUGCACGUCCAAGCAGUGAGAUUGAGUGUUAGGCAAAUCCGGCACUCUUAAGAUUGAGCUGUGAUGGGGAGAGGAACUUGUUCCUCGAGUCGUUGAUUUCACACUGCCGAGAAAAGCCUCUAGCUAGAAUAACGGUGCCCGUACCGCAAACCGACACAGGUAGUCAAGAUGAGAAUUCUAAGGUGAGCGAGCGAACUCUCGUUAAGGAACUCGGCAAAAUGACCCCGUAACUUCGGGAGAAGGGGUGCUCUUUGAGGUUCACGCUUCGAAGAGCCGCAGUGAAUAGGCCCAAGCGACUGUUUAUCAAAAACACAGGUCUCUGCUAAACCGUAAGGUGACGUAUAGGGGCUGACGCCUGCCCGGUGCUGGAAGGUUAAGAGGAGUGGUUAGCGCAAGCGAAGCUACGAAUCGAAGCCCCAGUAAACGGCGGCCGUAACUAUAACGGUCCUAAGGUAGCGAAAUUCCUUGUCGGGUAAGUUCCGACCCGCACGAAAGGCGUAACGAUUUGGGCACUGUCUCAACGAGAGACUCGGUGAAAUCAUAGUACCGGUGAAGAUGCCGGUUACCCGCGACAGGACGGAAAGACCCCGUGGAGCUUUACUGUAGCCUGAUAUUGAAAUUCGGUACAGUUUGUACAGGAUAGGUAGGAGCCUUAGAAGCGUGAGCGCUAGCUUACGUGGAGGCAUUGGUGGGAUACUACCCUAAUUGUAUUGGAUUUCUAACCCGCAGCACUUAUCGUGCUGGGAGACAGUGUCAGGCGGGCAGUUUGACUGGGGCGGUCGCCUCCUAAAGAGUAACGGAGGCGCUCAAAGGUUCCCUCAGAAUGGUUGGAAAUCAUUCAUAGAGUGUAAAGGCAUAAGGGAGCUUGACUGCGAGACCUACAAGUCGAGCAGGGUCGAAAGACGGACUUAGUGAUCCGGUGGUUCCGCAUGGAAGGGCCAUCGCUCAACGGAUAAAAGCUACCCCGGGGAUAACAGGCUUAUCUCCCCCAAGAGUUCACAUCGACGGGGAGGUUUGGCACCUCGAUGUCGGCUCAUCGCAUCCUGGGGCUGUAGUCGGUCCCAAGGGUUGGGCUGUUCGCCCAUUAAAGCGGUACGCGAGCUGGGUUCAGAACGUCGUGAGACAGUUCGGUCCCUAUCCGUCGUGGGCGUAGGAAAUUUGAGAGGAGCUGUCCUUAGUACGAGAGGACCGGGAUGGACAUACCUCUGGUGUACCAGUUGUCGUGCCAACGGCAUAGCUGGGUAGCUAUGUAUGGACGGGAUAAGUGCUGAAAGCAUCUAAGCAUGAAGCCCCCCU